GGAAUGUUGUCUGGCACGAGG
rnacentral:miRNA from 3 species